GUUUGAUCCUGGCUCAGAACGAACGCUGGCGGCAGGCCUAACACAUGCAAGUCGAGCGCACCUUCGGGUGAGCGGCGGACGGGUUAGUAACGCGUGGGAACAUACCCUUUUCUACGGAAUAGCCUCGGGAAACUGAGAGUAAUACCGUAUAAGCCCUUCGGGGGAAAGAUUUAUCGGGAAAGGAUUGGCCCGCGUUAGAUUAGAUAGUUGGUGGGGUAAUGGCCUACCAAGUCUACGAUCUAUAGCUGGUUUUAGAGGAUGAUCAGCAACACUGGGACUGAGACACGGCCCAGACUCCUACGGGAGGCAGCAGUGGGGAAUCUUAGACAAUGGGCGCAAGCCUGAUCUAGCCAUGCCGCGUGUGUGAUGAAGGUCUUAGGAUCGUAAAGCACUUUCGCCAGGGAUGAUAAUGACAGUACCUGGUAAAGAAACCCCGGCUAACUCCGUGCCAGCAGCCGCGGUAAUACGGAGGGGGUUAGCGUUGUUCGGAAUUACUGGGCGUAAAGCGUACGUAGGCGGAUUGGAAAGUUGGGGGUGAAAUCCCAGGGCUCAACCCUGGAACUGCCUCCAAAACUAUCAGUCUAGAGUUCGAGAGAGGUGAGUGGAAUUCCAAGUGUAGAGGUGAAAUUCGUAGAUAUUUGGAGGAACACCAGUGGCGAAGGCGGCUCACUGGCUCGAUACUGACGCUGAGGUACGAAAGUGUGGGGAGCAAACAGGAUUAGAUACCCUGGUAGUCCACACCGUAAACGAUGAAUGCCAGAGAUCGGAAGAGCACACGUCUGAACUCCAGUCACGCAGUCCAUCUCGU
rnacentral:rRNA from 1 species